rnacentral:pre_miRNA from 1 species
GAUUUCAACUGAAAAAGUAAUCAAUAACAAAGUGGUAUAACUCAUCAAGAUCUAUAACUUUUAUUUGGGUCAUUUCUUCAUCUGACAAAGCGAUUUGUAACAUUGUUCACAAAAUGUACAUAUCUCUUAUAUAGUUUAUAAACUAUAAGAGAGAUAUGUAAAAUUUGUAAACAAUAUUACUAUCACUUUAUUGGAUGAAGAAAUAACCCAAAUAAAAGUUAUAAAUAUUAAUGAGUUAUACAACUUUGUUAUUGAUGACUUUUUCAGUUGAAAUC